rnacentral:misc_RNA from 1 species
AAGUCGUAACAAGGUUUCCGUAGGUGAACCUGCGGAAGGAUCAUUAUCGUAAACAAAGAGGCCGCGUUGCUGUCGCUGGCCCCCCCCCUUGGGGGGGGGCAUGUGCACGCCCCGCGGUCGCAUCCCUCACACCCCUGUGCACCUCUGCGUGGGUCCGUCGGCGCCUGCGCCUUCGAGUCCGCGUCUUACACCAUAUACACCUGUAUGUCUUCAGAAUGUCAACAUGCGAUUAAAAGCAUCUAAUACAACUUUCAACAACGGAUCUCUUGGCUCUC